CUCGAGUCAACAUGGGCCAGCAUACCUGUGGAACACUGUCGACACCUUGUAGAGUCCAUGCUCCGACGAAUUGAGGCUGUUCAGGUAACCUGGAAGAGUCCUGGGUGGGUCAGAGUCCAGGGCCUGAACUAUUCAUAGCUGGAGGGAUUGUAGCACCCUGAAGGACUGCUAAACGGGUAAAGACAACACUGCUAAACAGAGGAAGACUCAUCUGUACUGGCUGUGGUCCUGCCCAUCAUCUUGAUUCUACUUGUAUUGGCCAUCUUUCUAUCAUGCCUGUUGUGACGUCGCAUAACAGGCAAGAAAGCUUUAUAGAGAAGAUCUGAUGUGGAGAGUCAACCGGAAGAAGGAGAUAGAAAUCAUCCUGACCAGUUCACAAAGACCUCAGAGGUUCCUCCAGGAAAUGGGGACAUUUGAGAAUAAUACAGAUACAAAAGACAGUCAUGUUUCUCCAAAGGCAAAGAAUGUGAGCUACUGGUCUCCAGACAGACACACAGAGAGUCACCCCAACUGACAGACAGUAUCAGUCAGUCCGGGACAGGUCUGAGAACCAGGACAGCAUCGCUCAGUCACCACGCAUCCACACCCUACUCUGGACCAACACAGCCAGGAUCCAAACAGCCAUGAAUCUCAGAACCCACAGAGAGAACUAGAGAAGGAGGCAGCCCUCAGCCACCCCAGAGGAGACGCGGCCCUACACCACCCCCACCAGAUCAUAGCCAUGCUCAGAGCCCUGCACCACCCCCACCAGAUCCUAGCCAGGCUCAGAGCCCUGCACCACCCCCACCAGAUCCUAGCCAGGCUCAGAGCCCUACACCACUCCCACCAGAUCAUAGCCAGGCUCAGAGCCCUGCACCACUCCCACCAGAUCAUAGCCAGGCUCAGAGCCCUACACCACUCCCACCAGAUCAUAGCCAGGCUCAGAGCCCUGCACCACUCCCACCAGAUCCUAGCCAGCUCAGAGCCCUGCCCCACCUUAGAGGUACAGCUGGAGCAGCUCCAGAAAACAGACACAGCUCUUCAGACAUACAGACCGAUGAAUUAAUCUCCCAUGGCAGACAGGUCCAGCAGCAGAGGAACGCACACCCACUGAACACUGUCUCACAAAAUCUACUCAUUGGACUACAUUAAAUCAUUAUGCACUUCCAUUUUUUAAAUUAAAGAACACAUUCCAUAUUGCUUCUAGACAAUGAGAAUAAGCAGCCUGGUCUCAUAGACUAGACGUAACAGAGUACAUGCAAUUUUUAAUUAAAAAA